rnacentral:rRNA from 1 species
CUUGGUUUUUUGGCCUGCUUCGCCCUCGCUCGCGGGAGCGUCCUUGGCCAGGUCCGGGGGAGGGUACUCUUUUCUUUGAAUGCCUCCUCCGAUGGGAGCUAGAUUAGCGAUGUCGCUGCUCUUGGUGCGGGGUCGGUGGUAGCGGCUACGAAAGCGGCAACGCCUAGGGAAACGGCCGUGGCUCCACGGUCUCUUCGGCGCCGGCGGCAGCGCUGCGGCGACGGCUGUAGGAGGUAGCGGCGGGGCCGAGGCCGGUAGGUCCACGGCGGCUGGGUGCGUGCGGCGGCGAGGUGCGCGCACCAGAAGGGGAGGUGCGGAGGUACGCGGCGACGUCGGGUGCGUGCGGUAGAUGGGGAAAUUUGGAAGUACACGGCGGCUACUCAAGCAGCAACAGCUGCCCCUCUCGCCCCCCUUGUUGGAGCCCCUCGCUCUCCGGCAGUGGCCGGGGCCCUAAGCCGUGGCGCGCUGGCAGUAGCUGCGUCAGGCCUCCAUGGUUCAGACGAUGAGCAUGGCUGUACAACCAGCUGCAUCCUUACCAUCGACCGACACUAUUAGAACUCCAAGGUGCUGUACAACCCUUACCUUCACGUAGGGGGCGCUUUCCGUGUUUCUCCUUUAAACAACAACUACGUUGGUUUCCACGUAGUGGUCCACAAUUACGUUCAUUGUGACCCGUCGUGGACGUAAUGGUGUCUUUUCCAUUACCAGGACCCUUUGCACGUUUCGACCUUCUGUUGUUUCCACGAUCAUCCAACCCCUCUCUAGUCUGUGGUUAGCCGCAUAAACUUCUACUUACGCAAAAGACGGUAAGUAAAUCUUGGUCACUCGGCACAGUACCAGGCUACCAGGCUACCAUGACAUAGUGUUAGCUUCCUAACACGGGUCACUGCUCCCGUUGGGAUGGUUGCGGUAGAUACAGGUGCUCUUUACGUACCAAACCCGGGGUUUUCAUCUUAGGUUACCACUAUGAAAAUUCUUACACCUCUCACUUUAGUUAGCAAGAUUUUCUAACUCUACGUCUUCUACGUUUGAGGGCCCUCGUCGCGAACCAACAAUACUGUUGAGGACGUCUUUUUCAAUAGUACAGGGUACACGUUACUACUAUGGUCUUACGGCGACCCUACUUCAUUCGAAAACUCAUAUCGAACAGGAACUAGGUAAAUAUUUGGAUCGUGUGUUGUGCCACUAACCCUCUACCCUAGAAGACAAUGGGUCCCUACAUGUAGACUAAAAUUCUUAUAGUGUAGACUCAGGACACAGGGAAAUCGGAGGAGGGGAGGUUGCAGGUACCGAGACGCUACUUUAGUUCCAACUGACUACAAACUAUACUUGUAUUAUUUCAGAUGUCCAGUUUCCCUUUUAUCUUACCCGAAGGUAUACUACCUACAUGUACCCCCUUUAUUCAGACUAUAGAACCACAAAGUUAGAGUCUAACUUAAGAAGUUGUUCUAAAUCAGGUCCUCGUUCAGAUGACUCUUCUCGUUCCCACAGCUAGUACUUAAAAACAAAAUCAACUGACAUCCAAAGUACACCAUACAGAGGUCCUUUACAUAAAAACUAGAGUCGAAGAUUACUACUUUUCUUCAUCAGUUCUUAUUUUAAACUACAGGAAACCGUGGAAUGUUCUACUAUUUGUAGUUGUGACUACAAGACAACAAGACUAUUGACGUUUUAUCCUUGCGUACGUAGUUACCCGUACUUCCCACACCCAACUUCUUGUUAAUAAGAUGUAACAAACCAGAUAAAUUUCCAUUGACAUGAUUUGUAGGACAAGAAUGACGAGAAAUGAGAAAUCAAUUAUGGUAGUCACACCGUGAGGAGGAAAAAUUGCAAUAAAAUCAAUCAUCGUCAUAAAAACUUCACAAAGAUGGUAAAGAGAGCUCCAAGAUCGCCACAAGUGCUAUAAUCCGACAUUAACAACGGUCGGACUAGAACCAUUUAAAAGGAACGAAUCAGAAUUAUAACUUUGAACGAGCCUCCUAGGUUGGUUCCGGUGUAAAAACUAUUUAUUCUACGUUCUAAGAUAAGGCAGUUGUCCGAAACUACACAGUAGUCGUCGAGAUAACGUUCAGAGAUCGCAGCUGAAUGGGGUCAAGGAAGCCAAGUCUACAGCAAAGGAUUAACGAUCUCGACGUUCCCAUGUAUAAAUCAAGGAAUAGUAGGAACUCAGUACAAUAGACGCUCCCAUGAAUUAACGAAUGCACAAACGUUAAAGAUAAAAACUUGGAAAUAUAGAUUAGGAGAGAAAUUAAAAGUCGGUAGAUAAAUAAAAGAAUGCGUACUUUCUUGAAAAGAAUUACGCACCCACAAAUAUCUUGUAGCGACCAGAGAAGUUACCGUUAGUCAUGAGUAACCACAACAGUCCGUAAGUUAGUCUCCACGCCGUACGAAGACUGUAGUUGCUCACGGUUGUUGCAGAUAGUCGUGUUAAGCCGGUGGCCAGGAUGGUAAGACGUUUGAACCUAGAGAGCGUUUUUGACUUUUAAAGAAAAACCCAAUUCGUGAUAACUAAACACCACCAUUUAAGAAAACCGUUCCUUUGAAUUUAUAUAACAUUACACUCAUAGAGCUGACCGUAACUCCUAAUUCUUGAAAUUGAUACGGCGGUGUAAAACAUCCGUGAUAUUGAUGGUAAGAUCCGUACAUAUACGUACCAUAAGAUACGUCUUAAACAAACGAGUAUAUGUUCCUUAUGAGUGAUGUACUACUCUGUUUCAAAUAAUACCUGACCAUUCUCAAAUGACUACUAAGUAGGAUAGUAGGAAUCUAUGUUUCUAAUUCCACAUGUGUUAAGUUUGUGAGUACAAACCGUAUAAGGUGCGUUGUGUGGACGAGGUACUUUGUUGUUGUAACCAGCUCCAUUCGUGAGGAAGUACGUAGGAGGCAUAAAAAAAGUAAGUAGUUCAAACUAAAAAAAUGUACGUAAAAUCAAAAGAGAAUUCAACAAAACAUGAAUGACUUUAUUACUGAAGUCACCGUUUUUAACGAAUACAUAAACAACUUUGUACCCGUACUGAGUACGUAAAACAAUCCGACUUCGUAUCCUUCUUCGUCACACCCGUAGCGGUGUAGGACACGCACUAGCAAAGGUGAGACGGUGUACGCUACGUCUUAUGGGGUCCAAACUGUACAGCAGCGUCAUCAAGUAGUGGUUGUCGGUUGGGGUAAAAAAUUGUGGGUGGUCGGUACAUAAAAUUGAAACAAACCCUGUAGGCGCCGGGUAUUAAGGUAGGUUGAGAAUACUAGACGUUGGGUCGACCUGCUCCUCCGGUCACGGAAAGAGCGGCAGAAGUCCCAGUAGGGGUCUACCAUCCGACUAGAGUGCCACUUCUAGGGUACAGACCAUAUCAAGGUCCGGGCCUUUAGAAGAAACGGGCCAGGGGGGUGAUGAUAGACAGAUUAUAGAACCCGUAGUCUUCCUCACUUGUGUCGGACGUCAAAAGGAAGUAGGGUCCGGCAAGGCAGGAGGCUCUCAUCCAGUCGGUGGAACUAGCAUAAGCCAUGCAUCAACCGUGGAUCUCCUCAGUACGAAGGUAACGCCCCAUAGGUUAAUAGUACGUUGUGCAACUAGAAGCAAGGUCCGGGCCUUUAGAAGAACACGACUAAGUUAAGAUAAUGCAUUUGUUAUUCAUUAAUUCUUAAGUCUUUAACGUGGUAUAUACACUCUAGUGAAGGGAUCUUCUGUCCGUAUUCUAAAAAAGAGCUAUUGGAAGGUAUUAUUUUAUUCUAUAAACAAGUAUUGUUCAACGAUUAGGUGGCGGGAUACAGUAAAUAAUAAUAGUAAUAGAGAUGAUAAUUAACUGUCAGUGUUCAAAGGAUACCCGUAUGGAUAGGCGCGCGAGGACGCCUCCCUGCAGCACGUGCUGUGGUACCUUCUACAGUACCGGCCCGGAUUGGGACCACGUUACGAGCUCUUACGGUCCCGCACCUAGUGCCGUAGCUCCUGCUGGCACCGCCCUCCGCCCAGUAGUCUGGCGGUACACCUGCGCCAGUGUAAUAUAAAGAACUGUCAGUUUACCUCUCGGUGUACCGAUGUAAGAGUUUAGUUCACACAGGUAAAUUUACAGUUCUUUAUGUAAUUCUAUAACACAGGAUGUAAUGAGCCAUCAGUAACAGUAUUAGCAAACAUCGUCGGUAAGUACGUUUUUAUUAAAUCUUUAGUUCGUGACUUAGUUAAACCUUUAGUUUGGUAACUACGUUAAUUAGUCGAUCUGUCAAUUAA